rnacentral:rRNA from 1 species
AGUGAACGCUGGCGGUAGGCCUAACACAUGCAAGUCGAACGGCAGCACAGUAAGAGCUUGCUCUUACGGGUGGCGAGUGGCGGACGGGUGAGGAAUACAUCGGAAUCUACUUUUUCGUGGGGGAUAACGCAGGGAAACUUACGCUAAUACCGCAUACGACCUACGGGUGAAAGCAGGGGAUCUUCGGACCUUGCGCGAUUGAAUGAGCCGAUGUCGGAUUAGCUAGUUGGCGGGGUAAGGGCCCACCAAGGCGACGAUCCGUAGCUGGUCUGAGAGGAUGAUCAGCCACACUGGAACUGAGACACGGUCCAGACUCCUACGGGAGGCAGCAGUGGGGAAUAUUGGACAAUGGGCGCAAGCCUGAUCCAGCCAUACCGCGUGGGUGAAGAAGGCCUUCGGGUUGUAAAGCCCUUUUGUUGGGAAAGAAAAGCAGCAGGUUAAUACCCCGCUGUUCUGACGGUACCCAAAGAAUAAGCACCGGCUAACUUCGUG